rnacentral:rRNA from 1 species
AUUGAACGCUGGCGGCAGGCUUAACACAUGCAAGUCGAACGAGUGGCGGAGGGGUGAGUAAUGUAUGGGAAACUGCCUGAUGGAGGGGGAUAACUACUGGAAACGGUAGCUAAUACCGCAUACCAUCGGAUGUGCCCAGAUGGGAUUAGCUAGUAGGUGGGGUAAUGGAGCACCUAGGCGACGAUCCCUAGCUGGUCUGAGAGGAUGACCGGCCACACUGGAACUGAGACACGGUCCAGACUCCUACGGAGGGCAGAAGUGGGGAAUAUUGCACAAUGGGCGCAAGCCUGAUGCAGCCAUGACGCGUGUGUGAAGAAGGCCUUCGGGUUGUAAAGUACUUUCAGCGAGGAGGCGUUACCCGCAGAAGAAGCCCCGGCUAACUCCGUGCCAGCAGCCGCGGUAAUAC